GUCACAGGAGGCAAAGGAGAUAGAGCCCCAUGAGAAGUGGAUGCACCAGCCCCUCUAGCUCUCUUCUUUUCACAGGCUAAGUACCUCCGACGGGCAUCCCUGGCAAUGGUAUUCCGCUCUUUCAUCCAUCUCUUAAUUAAUUCUAAAGGUGGUAGAUUUGAAGGCGACGACAUGGCAGCAGACGGAGAAGGGGACUUCUUACCACAGGAGUGGAGAUCCCUAUACUCUUUGGCCCUUUAUUUAUAAGCGUUAGCAGUUAGACCAAUCACCAAUCGGCACUUCCCAGGAGUUACUGACCAAGCGAUUAAUGACAUGCCUUCUACAAAGAGGAAGUAAAUUCCUACGAUGCUUCGCAAAACAAAAUAUGCCCACGUGGUGCAUCUUCAUAGACCCUGUGUUGCCUCCCAGGCAUGAUCUUAUUAGAUGAGUCAUUGAUCGCUAUUCUCCAUAAUCUUUCAUAUUUAAGGGAGCAGAACAAGGUUAUCAUCUACUUAAAUUAUCUCAGAUCGACAUGAAUAAGUUCAUAAAGCAGGAGUAUGACAAAAGACUACUCAUUUUAUUCCUUUUGAGAUUCUCUUACAAUGACCCUGAAACAUGAAGAAAGAGAAAUACAAAAAUUAUAGUGCGACAUCUAGAGCUGAGGUGCCAAUCACUGAGACAUCCACCGC
rnacentral:lncRNA from 1 species